rnacentral:lncRNA from 1 species
UGAUAUUUCCCACCUCGCUCACCUCACUACUGAAUGGGCUCCUCCCUGUAUGCGCAUGCAUGCAGCUGCUGUGCCUGUCGCCCCAGCCCGCCAUAUGCCUGCUGCUGCUGCUGCGCCGCCGCCGCCGCGACGCCAUGGUGCCAUUCGAUGCGGCAAGACAUAAUCUGAGUUGAGGCUUAAGGGUACACUACAACACUGUAAGGAGGUCGCGUAAGGAGGCGGAGAUCCACAGAGAUUGGACGCGGAAUGCGCGACGGCGUGUCGCACCACUUACUGUUGCCGCUGGAUGUGGAUGCGCAACUCACGUAUUGUGCAUGUCCAUUCCUGUCCACCAUCCACCUUAGGGUAUUAAGAAUACGAGAUUCCGCUUCCCCCGUAGGGUGGUCCCACUCCCCAUUCACUCUGUUAUUUCCGCCAGCUCCAUAAGAGAGUGUAGUAGAAAGUAGACAUGGAGAUAUAUCAACUCACCACACCUCACCACCACCAUCAACCUUACUCGCAUUACAUCAACAGAGGAUGUCAAAUCAGGCCCUCGCUGUCCCUCAGUUGACAGCGAAAGCGUUAUCGUUGUUUACGGGUUUGUGAGGAACACGAUAUGAUUGACUGAUGGCGAAUUCUUCUCCGAUUCUAUUCCCCGGGUACUAUUGUGGCGGGGGCGGGGGCGGGGGCGGGGGCGGGUACUUACCUGCCAAUAAUGUCCUACACACUCACGCACACGCAAAUGCACAUGCACAUGCACAAACGCACAUACACACAUGUAUACACACACACACUCUCACGCACGCGCACCCCGGGGUUGGGGGUACCAAAGUUAACACAUAACCCCGUCUUUGAUGCCAGCAGGUGUUACGGCGUACGGCAUAUAUACGGCUGGAAGGGUUAGACCGGUGGCUUAUUGAAGCACCGGGGAUUUGUUUAGCACACAUACACACGUACAUACACAUACAUACACACACACUUGGGCACACACACAUCAGUGGCGGCGGUCAGUCAUCUCUCUGAAGUGAAUGUCUGAAGUACGGCCAAGUGGGUCCAUCCAGUUCUGCAAUUUGCCUGAGGGUGCCGUACAAGGGGUAUCAUCAAUGGAGCCGUUGGCUGAGCUGACGCCCGAACAUCAUGACAGCGCAUUAGUGGCGGCGGCGGCGGUGGGGGUGGGGGUGGGGGUGGCAACAGUGGCUGUGGUGCCGCCGCGCCAGCCUCAACGAUCAAUGCGGGCACUUGAUGGGCUUGCGCUUUCCGCCAGCCAUGGCUACCGCGCAUUGGAUGAUGACUGCGACGGCGAACGGGCCGCCAUUCAGGGCUACUCCAGUCUACGACAUGUCGUACAGUUCAACACCGACGCUGACACCGCACCUUUCAACGCUGCUUUCACCGCCAAGGCUCCCAAUGCCUCCGCUGCCCCCGCCGCCCCCCCCGCCGCCGCCGCCGCCGGGGAGCCGCCUGCCUCCGUAACGGCCGAUGUUCCCUCUUCUAGGGAAGCGCCACCACCACCACCGCCACCGCCACUACCACCACCACCACCUGCCAGCCAAGUCGCAGGAGAGGAUAUCGGCAACCUCACGGACCGGAUCCGGCGGCGCUCCCGCCAACUUCAUUGCAGUGCCGUACAUAUCACGCCGUAUAAGUGUCAUACCGACGUCACUGCCACCGCCACCAUCACCAUCCACGGCGACCAGUCGCGGCAGGCGCCCGUCAUCCCUUCUCCGGGAACUUCCCUGGACUUCGGCAACCAAGAACCGCUGCCGCCACCACCGCCGCCGCCGCCACCACCGCCGCCGCCGCCGCCAUCGGGCCCCGGGGGCAGUGGCGGGCUCCCUGGAGGGCGAACCUGUCCAACCACCCAGGUUAACCAACAUUCAGUACUGGACCUCGGUUACAACCACCAGAGCAACCACAACCAAUAUAACCGCUACGACCAAUCACAGCUGCAUCUACACCAGCCGCCAAACGAUGUGGUUUCGUACGGCGCCAACGGCCUUACAGACGGCGACUGCACACCCGGCACUGACUGCGCCACUACGCCCGCUACACGCGGGCAUGCGGCUGUGGAAAGGUUGGAAUCUGCGGGCUCUGCCGUGACAUUUGGGGCCGGCAUUGACGAAGCUGGCAAAGCAGCUGCGAGAAGGAGACCCAUUAGUGAUGGUGGUGGUGGUGGUGGUGGAGGUGGUUAUGGCGGUGGAGGUAAUGAUGGUUGUGGCGGUCGAAGAGGCAGGAGCGUGCAAGCCUCUAGCCCCAGCACUGGUGUCGUACUCGACUCUCACCUACGGCAGCCGUACACUGUCCAGUACCAUCAUCUCCAUCAGAGUCACCUCCUCCCCCCCGGGAACGACCGCGGGACUGCUCCGUGGGGCCCCCCCGGGUACGGGCCCCCCGCGGCUGCCCAGCCCGGACAGCCGGCCAACGGCGCGGGUGCCACCGCAGCCGGCGGAACGUCCACACAACUGCCGCCACAGGAGCUGAUGAACCGCCAGCAUGUGACAGCGCCGCAACUACCUCAACCGCCACUGUCAAGAGAAACGUACGGCACGGCGUACCAUCCCCGCUCCUUUGGGAAUCCUUUCCGUGCUCGAGGCUCGUCUGGUCCUGUAGCGGUCGCGGUGGUUGCAGAUGACGAGUUGACAGACCACGGGCCACAGGGCCACACAACGACUGGAAGCGGGUCCUUGCUUGGUGAACGGGAGAAUCUAUACGGCAACAUAAACAUGGUGCCUUUACAGGCUGCUGGCCAAACAAAGUACAGUGAUGCAGUACAGUCAGUCGGUACGGCCGUGCAGCAUUAUCCCAUUGAGGAGCUGCCGUCGUCACCGCAACAACAGCACUACUAUCGCCACCACCAGCAUCAACCCCUACAACAGCAACGACACCAUCACCACGAUCACCACAAUCAACCUUGGCUGCAGCGCAACCAUCUUCAUCCCCCCACACAACAACCUCGCUCCAACCUACAGCGUCAAGACUAUCACCGUCGCCCUCUUCACCAGCAGCAGCAAUUCCAGCAGCAGCAGCAGCAGCAGCAGCAUCAGGGUCCCUCUCCGGGUGCUAUGGCGGGGGGGAGUUCGCACCUCACUACUGCUACUGCUACUGCGGCACAAAGUCAUGGGCAGUACCCUGCAGCCCAAUCCAGCGAGAGACGCCGAAUGUACGAACAACAAAGACAACAACAGCAACAGCAGCAACAGCAGCAACAGCAACAGCAACAGCUACAACAGCAGCAACAGCAACAGCAACAACAGCAGCAACAGCAGCAACAGCAGCAACAGCAGCAACAGCAGCAACAGCAACAACAAAGACAGCAAAGACAACAGCGGCAGCAUAACCCGCCGCACUACCACCCGCACCAAUACCACCACCACCUGCAAAAUACCGCCUUCCAGACCUCCGCUGACAUCCCAAGCAGCGGUGCUGACACCGCCGGUCGCUUUGGCAUGUACGACAGCGUGCAUGGACAGGGACUUGGCUUUCCUCAGCCCGCCGUGGAGAGCCAACAGCAGCCCAGCACCCCUGCCGCCGCCGCCUCCCGGUAUGCCGACCUGGCGGAUCCAAUUGAAGGGCACAGUGCUGGAGGGCUGCGGGCGGAGCGCCGGGCGCUGUCGUCGCUCGACUGGCGGGGACCCUUAUCGGCGGCUCUCCAAGACAGCGGCGGAGGCUUUCCGGGCGGCGACCAGGGCGGUGUAAUGUACGGCAACAGCAUGGAUGUGUACGGCUUGACGCCAGCACAGCCCAACGAGGAUACCGAUGAUGUCCUGUUGACGUACCUGCACCAUGGUGGAUCUACCGGCGCCGCAGCUGCGGCCGCCUUUGGUGAAGCCCGCCUGUUGUACCCGCCGACUGCCCCCGACAACCCUUCAGCCACCGCUGCAGACUCAGCACCCAUGCGGAGCGCCUCCGCACCCGCCACCGUGAGCUCCUCCCAGAAUCUUACCUUUGCCUUCGGCAUGGGCGACGGUAAUCGCCGUACUGCAGCGUGGGUAGGGGAGGAGGUGCAAGGCCAAGCAGCUGCUGCCCUAGCUGCCGGGGGCAAUGUUCAGCCGACCCACGACUUCGGCGGAGCUGGACCUGUGAUUGAGGCUGCAGGGAGGAUCAGCACAAAGGGCCAAGGCAAACCGCGUCGUGGUGCAGCGGUGGCGGAGGUGGUUGCAACACCGUUGCCAGCAGCGCCACAUGCGCCGCCGCUGCCCGCAAUACUACUCGGGCCGCAAGGGGCAGCGGGGGCGGGGGCGGCAGGGACGAGCUCACGCGCACCGAAGCGCAGCGCCGCUAUGGCGGCCCUAGCAAGGUUUCACAGCUCGCGGCAGGGUCGCUCGUCCAGCGGCGACAGCCGCUCGGUGGCGGCGGCGGCGGAGGACAGCCACGGUGGCGGUGAUGCUGACGGCCAACAGGAAGGGGGCGGGGAGGAGGGGAACGGCAAGCGGCGGUCAUCCCGGUUUCGGGGGGUAACGAAGCACCGCCGCAGCGGCAGGUGAGGAGGCAAUGGCUCCCAGGGCGACUCCCUGGCUUCUUGCAUCGUUAUCUCCGUCAAACUCCAACAUCAAUAGAAAGUGCAGCAGCACCGGGCGCAUCUGUGUAUGCAAGUACUGGCAGAGAUCAGGUGUUCAUCUGGUACUGCAGUACUUGCUCACUAUCGUAUCCGCACCACCCAGCACCUAUUGCACAUGUGCCGUACGUACGUGACUUUGCCAGGUGGGAGGCGCACAUCUGGGUGAAGGAGAUCGGCCGUCAGGUUUACCUGGGCGGCUACGAGGAGGAGGUGCACGCGGCGGAGGCGUACGACGUGGCGGUGCUGAAGUGCAAGGGAACCAAAGUGCGGCCCCGCCACCACCCCAGCAAAGUCGCUGAUGUACCUGAUGUUGCUUCCAGAGAACAGUAUUUUCUAGUAGCCCGUAGUGGAGGAUUCUUGUUGAUGCGUCUGAUAUGAGAAACCCUUAAAGCCAGAUACCGCAAACACGGAUUGUCAGCUUCAGUCUGCACAAAAUGACAUUACGACAUAGUAGGUUAACAGUCCCCCCUGUCCAACCCCGUCAUCUCUCCCCAUUCGCCAAUUAAACCGACCUCCUCUCCGGAUGCCCUUUUCCCUUGACCCGUCCUGCCCGUACGCCCCGGCAGGGAGUGCGCACGAACUUCCCGAUCAGCCAGUACCAGGGCCUGCUUCCGUCCCUGAAGGACAUCGAACUGGAGGACCUCAUCAUGGCCGUUCGGCGCCAAAGUCAGGUAGGUUGAAAGAGCUCAUUAUGCUGUUGUGGACAUCAAUCAUUACGUGCGUAGCUAGUAAUUGACCAAUAGUGUGUUUCCUGGUUAAACCACCGAGAAACAAGGGAGCCAAGCCAGCUGGCUCCUUGUACUUCAUCAUCUUGUGCCGUACUGACCGGUGUCGUACAAUGAUGCACUCUAUUGGCCACAUUGCCAUGUGGAUGCAGGGCUUCAGCCGCGGCAGCUCCACGUACAGGGGCGUCACGGCGCAUCUGUCGGGGCGCUGGGAGGCGCGUAUCGGCAUCCCUGGAAGCAAGCACAUCUACCUGGGGCUGUUCGAGAGCGAACGUGACGCCGCGGCCUCGUACGACAGGUCGCUGGUGCGGUUGCGUGGCUCUUCCGCUGCGACGAACUUCCCCCUCUCCGAGUACCGCCGAGAGCUUGCGGAGUACCACAGCUACCAGCAGGUGCGCAGUAAGGUUUCGUCAACAGGCCAACUGUGACAGCUCUUUGCGUUGCUGAAGUUCGUUCAUCCAACUUUGCGUGCUGCUGUUGGCGCACAUGUGCUCCACGCAGGCACAGGCUUCAGCAGGUAGUAGUGUGUCCUUGUUAUUUCUUGCUCAUCUCCAGGUCAGGUUCAGGAGUACAUCGCCAUCCAUGGGGCGCCUCUUCACACGCCCCACUGCGCGCGCCACACACUGCCGCGCCAUGGCGGAUCAUCCUCAUGUCCGCAUCCGCAAUAUCGUACUGCCGGCACACCCAUCCCUGCCGUACAUACACAUACGCAUGCAGGCCGUCUUGCUCCAGGACCAGCGGAUGGCCUCCCUCAUGAAGCCCGGCCCCGACUACGAGAAGUGGGUCAAGGCCGGGUUCAGUGCCUUCCCCCACAUCCAGAUGGAGCAGGCGGCUGCAGCCGGGGAGGAAGCCGCCGCGCGAGACCUGGAGCUCAAGCGCUCUUGAGUGCUCAAUACUGCGGCCUGAGGGGGCAGCAGCUAUUACAACACGCAAAAUCACAGCUAUCACAGCCACCAUGCAUGGCCAUGGCGGCGAUUGAAGAAAUGCCUGCGCCGCAGAGGUGUCGAGGUGGCCGUUACUGGUGGUGUAAAGGGGGCUCACGGCAGCUGGUGCAGGGUGCUGCAUGUGGUUUGGAUGCGUACGGGUGCGUACCCCGUACCCAUACAGCUGGGAGUGUGCGCAGGUAGCUUGGAUGGCAUGGAGAAGGUGGAUGACAUGGUGAUCAUGAGAGUGCAUUUGGGGAUGUUCUAUUUGUGUUUUUGGCUGCCAGCCCGGUCUUCCAACGUCCUGGCUAGUGCAUGUUGGUUGCGUGUCGGCGAUUUCAGGUAAAACCGUUGUUUUGUUUACCCCUUAAAUGGUCUAGGUCGUGAGUUUCUUUUUUUACUCUAGAACCGUCGCCUUGGAAAUAACGACUGCCUCCUUACGGCCCGUAAAGCCGCUGUGUUUGCCAUCAUUUCCCAGUGGCGAGUGAAGAGGGUGAUCCGUGUUGGCUAUUUGACGGUUGGAACAAGGCCAGUCGCUACUUGGAACAAGUGCAAAUUCGUACUAGUCAGUCAUAUGUUGCGAUGUUUAGGCAGUUUAGGAAGUUCAGGAGAGAGAAGUGUUGCAGCUGUGUUGGCUGUUGUCAAAUCAUCGUUCCGCCAACAGCUGAUUAGCAGUAGCCGGUUGUUAGCGGCAGCUUGCUUAGUUGCUGGCGAUUGAUAGUUGCUGUUGUGAUGAUGGGGCCGGGCGUUGGAGGCUAGCUGCAGCUGCUCGUACUAAAUGCCGCGGCUGUGGUGGCAGGCGUCUCGUUAUUCGGCUCUCUCCGGGGCGUUAUAAAAUUAGGCUAUAACUUUUAGGUUGGUAGGCAGGAGCUGCCCCCAUGGGAUUGAAGGAACAAAUCAUUGGUUGGGUUGGCUGCGCGGAGGCUGCUGGCUUUUGAACGCGGUUAUAUGUUUUCGAGGGUUUCAUUCUUCCAUUAGCUCGUCGUAAUAUAAUGCAGAUUCGUUUAUGUUGCUGGACUUUGGAGGCAAACAGAGCCCGAAGGGGCAAGUACCAUGCACGUCCCCAUGGGGCAGCGGAUUUGCCGCUGUUGUGGAACCAAUAGCCAGGUCGAGGAUGAAAAAUAUAUGUUAAUGGAAUGCCCAGCUUAUAAAUACUAUUUUACGCGGAAGAAGGAUUAAAUUAUUAACAGAGCAUGUUGGAGGCCAUGAAAUGGAAGCGAGCCCGUCCUGCCAGUGGCCUGUCUGGCGAGGAUGUUGGAACGUAUGUGGGCUCACCGCAGCCCAGUUAUCCCCUUUGGGCGACAGGUCUUUUUUCUUCUCCUGUUAGUGCGGUUUUUCUUAUUUGUGGCUUUUAGGCGUUGAUGCUUUGCCUUCGGGCCUUCAGCUCAUAUGGGUAGUCUUACAUGUAUAGGGUCACGCAUCCCCAACCAUGUAACGCACACACAUACCAGACCUACCAAUGCUUGCCGCUGCAUUGCACCAACCUACAUUUCACCUGCCGACGCAGCGGAAGUAAUCUCAUGCAAACAUCCGAAGUGACCACCACCACCACCGCCAUGGGCGCCAAGGCCGUACACGUCACCAGAGUCAAUGUUCCCACAAGGAUUGACAGCACCACCAGCCAACGACACUACCGCCGCCAACGACACUACUGCUACUGCCACCGCGGCUGCAGUCACGGAUGUCGCCUCUCGUCCACCCAGCGUAUUCUUGAGGUCUCUAGUUGCAAGCUUGCAGCACCGCGGCGGCAGCAGUGCAGUAGCUGGCCGCUGAAAAAGCCUCUCAAGAAGGUGGUCGAGCGCUUCGCGCGUAUUUGUAGUCGAUAUGUGUGUAUUGCCCAUCCGUCAUUCGAUUAAGUCCGCGUCCUCUUCUGUGGAUCCUAAAGAUCCCGAGGUGUUUUAUCACAGCGCAUAGUGUCGUACAUGCAUGUGCCGUAUGCAUGACUCACCCAAGAUUUGAGGCGUACAUCCAGAGGAUGGCGGUGGGGAUCUACCGUUGCAUUUACAACGAGGUAGAGCAUGCGGAGUGUAAUGGUGUACGACAUCCUUGCAAUGAAGUUCAAGGGAGCCAAUGUACGGCGAUGAUGUAUGUUGUUACACGGUGGUAUAGCUCCACCAGCGGCCCCCUUCCCCAAGGCAGCUCCCUGCUCAGGGGAGAGCCUGCUAGAGGGGCACCCUAAUCCGUUCACCCCAUCCGACUUCAGAAUGUAUUCGUUGGGUUCAGCAACUCAUCAUGAACAUCCAGUUAAAUCCAGCGGAUCAACGGCGCCUCAACUUCGUUUCUGAUUAGCUCGCAAGUUGAUAUUAUCACUUCCUAUACCGUCCACGAGAUGGGGAGCCACCUCCCAUUUCAACUCUCCUCAAACACCCGAGGAGCCGGCAGGCAGAUUUGAAUCCGAACGCUUCGGGAACAGAAGUCAGGCCUUAACCUCUGCCAGCCGCCUGCCUAUUUCGACAGAUGUACAAAUAUGUGCCACGUCACCUCAACUGAAUCAUCACUGAUGCUCUAAAUUUCCAGGACAGCACACGCUGACUUGACCACACACCAUAUUAUGUCCAUAUUAUGGAACUCCCUUUUCCUUACACCUCUUCUGGCCGGGGUGUGUGCACCAACCUCUCCCGAUCAGUAGGACCUGAAGUGGGGGCCCAUCGCGUUAAUGCAUAAUGAACUUCAUGCAUACCUCGUAUAUAAUAAGCCAGGUGUCUGUAUAUACAUUUGUGUACGCUGUUUUCAAAUGUAUGGUCCUAUUUAUGUAGGCCAGGCAGUACUGGUAACGCACACACCGAUGCCCCCAGAGAUUCCAGGAUCGAGAUUUAGUAGAGGCGGUAAUUUAUUCAAUGGUGCUAGAUUAUAGUGCCCCUAGUUGAUGGUUGGUGGUGAACUGGGACUUAUUAGACUAGUGAGGUGACCAGGAAUAGAGUUGAGCUGCCUUUCCAAUAGAUCCAUUGGAUGCCGGUGGUGGGUGCUGAACUUGAGUAAUCUAACGAGAAGUCGACUAGGGUGACUAGAUGAGGGUGCCCCAAAAUACCGGGGAAGGCAGGGCUUCGCCGGGUAGCGGCGACGGGUGAAGAUAUGACCCCCCUGUCCCACACAUCAUAUGGUUAUGGAAUGAAGGUAUACAGAUAUACAGAUAUGCCCUUAUAUCCUUUCCUUGUCUCUGGAUGUAGACACACCCACCUACGUAGACGCGCUCACACACGCACUGUGCUGUGUGAUUGGCUAUAUACUCCGGUGAGUGCGCACACCGAGCGAGGAUGGAAUCAACAUUGUCGAACACCACCGCUGCCAGUAGCUUCGUUGGUAUAUCUUCGCCGGGAGACAUUGGCUAUUGCAUUACAAACUUUAUGUUAUUAUUAAAGGGUUUAUACAGAGCCUUUCGAUUCACCUUCACCACCUAAAUAAAAUGAUUAUUUGGGACCCAGAAUGAAAGAAAAGUUCACGUCAUCGUAUAGAUGAGUUAAUUAUAAGGACGUGUUCACAUGUGGGCGAAUCAGGGUUGAUUCAUGCGAAUUGGACUCUGAAUUGGACCUGAUUGGACCCGAAUCGGAAUUGGGGUCCGGGGGGGCCUCUUCGGGUAUGAUUCGACGUGAUUCACAGUUUUCUUUCUCAAAACAAAGUUGUUUAACAAACCGUUUCUCAUAAUUACCAUUACAAUACUAUAGGAACAUUUUCCAAUUGUUAAUUCACGCAAAGCGCACCGAGCAUUUUUCACGAACUCCUGCAGCUAUGUAUGUACAAGCCUGGUGAUAAUUUUCGCCAUAGAAACGAUACUUAUACUGUUCUGUUCCUAGAAAAUGCUGGCUUGCCUUGGGUGAUGGGGCGUAGCCGCGGAGCUUCAGCUGGGCGCGGUGGCACCUCGCGCCGUGCAGCGAAUCGUAUGUGAACACAAUUCAGAAAGCCGCCCCGAAUCGGACUCCCAAUCAGACUCUCAAUUGGACUACAUGUGAACACACCCUAAGUUUAGGUGACCACACGAUCCACACAGCUACUUCAGCACACUCAAGAUAUGAAGGAAAUGGCUGGUAAAGCUCCCUUAAGACCUCAAAGAGGCCCCAUUUGGGUGUUGCGAAAUAAUUGCUAUCAAGGGCCAGCAGGCUCGGGCCGGCGGCGGGUCUUGAGGUGCUGGAACACGAUAAUAGACGCGACGGGUACGCCGCCGCAACUUCACCCUACCAUUCGCAAACGCUGCAAACAGGGAUAUUACGAUAACCAGCAGCAGACAACAAGCUGAUUACAUACUUACUCCGGCUAACCGGUCCUCAUAUAUUUUAGGCAAGCCCUUUUUUUCACAACAAAAACAUUUGUUGGCCAAGGCCUACACAUGUACAUAGACAGCAACCGGCGGUAGUUCGACACACGACCAAAGCAAGGCCAACAAAAGCAGAUUCAAGUUACCAUUUGCAGCCUUCUUAAGGAAACACGAGAUAGAACCAAAAAGAUAUAACGCAGCCAAACUAAUUAGUUUAAGCUUAGAAGCUUUUGGCUUUCCCGCAUAUGAAUGUGCCUUGAUGGAAUUCCAUCAAGGCACAUGCUUCCGGAAGGCAGUGGGAUCGCUCGUGCAUGAUUGUGUGUGUGGUUGUUACAUGAUUGAUGUAUGGUUGCAAUUCUAGCUCGUCUGUGGGAAGUCUUAUCGUCUAUAGAUCGUGCCAUUUCCUUUAUUAAUGGCACGAUUGAAAGUCGAUAAAAAAAAUAUACAGACGCAAGCGAGAAUCGCUGCUGGCUACAUCCAUCAGACUCACGCAGUAACAGGACGGAGAUGCAAUCGCUUGGGAAAAAGGGGAUGGCGACCGAAUGACUAGGUAAGCAAUACAACCCACUGUAACAACCACACCACCUAAUACAACCAAACACACAUGUGCAUUUCAUGGGUCCACAAUCCUUCGCAGAAGAAGGACGCAGAAGAUGACGCCGAAGAACGGGAACCACGCAUGCGAUACCGUGAAAGGUACUCGACAGAUGCGCCUAUCUUCACACAGAUAGGCCAACAACACUUCCAAAAACAAGCCAAUAUCGGUCAAUAGCAUUCAGAGAAUUUGAGAACAGGGCAAGCUGUUGAGAUGAGGAGUUGAAGUCUCGAUUGAUGGGCAGAGAUUCGCAUAAUGGACUGAUGACGACCAUUGUACCCUCUAUCUCUAUGGAAGUUCGGGUAAGAGGAUAGGUGGGAUUCCAGAAGACAAACCAUCAGCCUUGGAUUUGCAAGCAAGGGCCACAUUGCACCAGUCACAACAGCAAGUCGAUCUAGUGGGAGCUACGUACCUGGGCCUUCCCCCCAGUCCAUUAUUUAACGAGCUUUUGGGGCUGAAGCUCAGCAGCCUCCGGGCUUUUAAGGAUGGACUUCCCAACGACGUUGCUACUUUAAACUUCUUGCCACGAACCUCACUGCUGGGCUCCAAUAGACCACCUUUGCUAUACAUGCAUUCAUGGACGGCCGUCCAAUGACGCCCGAAUGAAGCAUCGCAACGUGAUACGCGUGGAUCAACACAUCUAUCGCAUUUUGCUCGCUCCGUUUCAGUCACUAAUAAACGGGUAGGAGAGCAGACGGGGAGACAAACAAACAAACCAACUGGCCGACUUCAGUAACAAUUAACUUCGAAAUGGGCCUUGCUUAGAUCACCAUAUGUAUGUACUGGCUGAUUAUUCAUCACGACAGCUACAGCACUGGUGCAAGAAAACGUGGUGGAGGUUCUACUUGUCCCUGGGCAUAAGAAAACUAGUGACGCACCGGAAAACAAUGAUGCUAUUCAAGUGACCAUAACAACAGCCGAAGACCGGAGUCUAAAACGGAUCGCAAGAAACUGUGGAAGUUGUCAGGAACUUAGGGAAUCACAUUAAGUAUUUGUGUACCGACGGCCUUGCGCCUUGCUGGUAGGCGGCUCGGUAGGCUAUCCAUGUGUGUUUCGGUGUUAGACCGUGAGGGGCGAUGUGAGGCGGCCCCGCGCCGCCUCACGCAGGCCCCUCAGCAGGGCGGAGAGCAGGUGGGAGCUCACCUCAACCACCUCCAUCACCUGAAGAUGAUCGGGUGAGGUGGUUGGGGAGUUGAGGUGGUCAUGUAUGGGUAUUUAGGUGGUUAGGUGGUCAACAGGGAAUGAAUACAUCUCCCACCACCAGGUGAUAGUGCUAUCAGGUGGUUGGUAAGGCGGAUAGUGAUGUUGCUGGUGGUGCUGGUUGGUAAGCUUUGGGACAUGUGCAGCAGCCGGGGCUGCAUGGCCGGCCAGGAGCUCCUCAAGUCAGGUGAGCGAGUGUAUGUGGUGGGCACAUGCGGCACAGGUAAGGCAGUCACAUUAUGACCCAAGUCUCGUUAUUGGAAAGGGAGCAGACUUGGACACUCCUCCUCAUGGGUACCAUGAUGCCUUCCCCGCUCUUUCUCCGCCCUCCUCCACGGCUACCAGCUAGCACUCCACGACUGAGGCUCUCCUCCCUAGACAGAAACCCCCUACCCCACUUGCUUCUCCCCAUUCGUACCUGGCCAGUCGUUGGAUCGUCGUCCCCCUCCGGGAUUCCCGCAAUCACCAUAACGGGGUUAGGCAGGUCCCCGGACAACACCACAACUGCGCAUUGCUCCGCGUCCAGCCCGAGGUCUGAAAGGAGGGAAGCCAGCGGGAGGAAGGGGACCAGAGGAAAGAGGGGUUUAGACAAAGGGCGGGAAAAGCAGCAGCAGCAGCAGGGGGAUGAAGACGAAGGAAUAGUAGGGAUGGCGGUGGAGUGGGGCCACACUGUCUGUCCCCCAUACCUCCCGAUUCCCCUCCCCCCCACCUCCGCUUUCCCCCCCCAACCCAUCACCUCCCCUCCAACCCCCUGCCAACCUACUCGGGUUUCGCCACGGCUCCAGCCCCCACUGUACGGACAACCGAAACACCUCGUCGGUUUGCAGUACAUCACGGAUGGAGGUCCAGGGGCCCCCUCCCCAGUACUUGGCCUGGCCGGGAUGCGGCAUCACAAGAGCCGCCUCAACAAGCAAGGACAAUGAGCUUGUAGCAUGGGACUCCUGGUACGCCUUGACUUCGGGGUCCGAAUGCGGCGGUGGCGAAGUGAGCACAAGGGUGCCGCCCUCGGUGGGAAUCUGAACGGGUGGGUGGAGGAAGGCCGGUAAACACAGAGUGAAGGUUCCAAAACGGGAUAACCGUUAAAUGGAAGCCGGAGUGGGGGGAAGGGCACUGGGAGGAAGGAUCGAAGGGAAAGGGGAGUGAGAAGUAAGGUUUGGGUGAGUCUUGCAGCUGGCCAUGUUGCAGUACCUUCGUUCACAACCCAAAACACCUUGGGUUCUCUAAACGCCCACACAGUCAAAACAGACGUCUGCCGUCUGAACAAACACAUCCGUUUCCAAACAUUCAAUUAGUCAUUUCUUCCACCUCCGCUGCACACACCCAUGCGCCCAUGCACACACCUGCACCUUCGAGCUGGUAGCCCCCCACAUUGCCGUAUUGUUCCCCAAGUUACGUCGGGGCUGAAGCUGGUCAAGACCGCGGGCCUUGCAUGUGGGACUGUUGUACACCCGGAUCGACCACCUGGGGGGAUUGGGGGGUUGACGAAAUUCAAUACGACGGAUAAAGGUAGUAAAGGGGAUGGAGAGAAGGUUUCCAUGAUGGGUUUUAGCCUGGCCUCACAAAGCGAAGUGCCGAGGGCUUGGUUCUAUGGUCCCCGCCUGAAGAGGCCAUUCCAGGAGCCCGUUGAGGCCGUGCAGGUGCUGGGGACGGGUCGGCCCUCCCCCAGCCCUCCUCCCCCCUUUUCGCCCUUAACUGCCUCCUUUUUCACACUUCCCUCGCUCCCCGCCCCACCCUUUCAGGAGGCAAUUAAGACGGGAAUCCAUGGCAAUGACGGCAUAAAUGAUGAUUUCGAAACCCUCCCUCCCUUCACCUUCCCUUGCCUCCGCUACCCCGGCUAUUGGGGUAUAACUUGACGGCAUCCUUCACUUCCAUACUCCAACGUUCACCCCAAACCCACAACCUCUCUCCACGCCCUGAAAACACCCACUCACUUCCACGUGGCCAUCUGUGCCUCCAUGAUGCCGUACGCCCACGCCACGGACGCCUGCACCAUGUGUCUUCCGGGCACCCCCUUAGUCACCUCCUUCCACGCCGGAUAGUCCACCAGCGGGAUCAGGGCCAGCACGCGGUCUUCGGGAAGGAAGGCGCGGGCGCUCUGAGUCUGUGGGGAGGGAGGGUGUGGGGAGAUCAGGAAGGAAAGAGCGAGGGGCGGGGAAGAACUGCAAGGAUACUAAUGAAUAUAAACUGUGACGUGCUGUUAUAUCACGACUACAACUGCUACAGAAAAGCACCGAUCGACAGGUGCCCAUCCCGAGGUAUGAUAUGCCCGGAAUACAUCACAUUUAAAGGGCGGGAAGGGUUUUCGAGGAGAGUCCGCAGAGCCAGAAUGGAACCGAUUACAAGGCAGAAGGAAAGGGCGACUAAGGGACAGAGCGCAUCAAGGCGGUGAAGUCUCUUCCCGUCCCCUUACCCUCCCAUGGCCUCAUCCUCUCCCUCAUCCCCUCAUUCUCGCUCUUUUCUUUCCUACCGCCGUCCCCUUCCCCUCCCAUGGUCUCAUCCUCUGCCCUCCUGUCGCCCGCAUGCGUUACCUGGUGAUUGUUGAGCAGCACAAACGCCUUCUUGGCGGGGCUGUCCGCCUUCUUGAUGUCGCUGAUGAGGCCGCUGCGGUCCAUGGUGAUCCACAUCAGAUCCUUACUAAUCAUGGCCAGGUAACCAAUGCCGUCAGAGGGGUGAUCGCGAAGAACCCUGAAGGGAUUGUGACAUACAAACGGAUGGACGGGUAGGGAGUCACACUGACUUACAUAUACGGGCAGGCAAAAGCCUCAAUUGAACCUCGUUUCAUAUCGCAUACAUGCAUAUAUACAUACGCAUAUUAUAGGCAGGCGGCUGGCAGAGGUUAAGGCCUGACUUCUGCUCCCGGCCGACCCGGGUUCAAAUCCGCCUGCCGGCUCCUCGGGUAUUUGAGGAGUGUUGACAUGGGAGGUGGCCUCAUAUGGACGAUGUGGGACGUGAUAAUAUCAACUUGCGAGGUAACCAGGAACUAAGUUGAGGCGCCAUUGAUCCGCUAGAUUUGGAUGGAUGCUGGUGUUGAGGUGCCGAACCCAACGAAUACAUUCUGAAGUCGGAUGGGGUGACGGAUUAGGGUGCCCCUCUAGCAGGGGAGAGCAGGGACUGCCCCGGGAAAGGGGGCCGCUGGCGAAGUUAACCACCCUGUAACUACAUACGCACUUGAUAAUGCCGGUGUAGUCUCCCUCGUAAAAGCCCUCGAGUGCCUUGUCACCGAACUUGAGGUACAGCGGUCCCAGCUUCGGGUGGCUGUUCCAGGGGUUGAAUUCGGUCCAGUCCACCACAUGGAUGCUCUGAUACGAGUUGACUUGGCCUUUAGGACCAGAGGCGGGAAAUACAUGCAAAUUUAGGACAAAGAUCAAAUUUGUAAAAUGCUGCAGAGAGAGCACAGUGGAGAGGUGGAUUGCGAGAUGGAGAGCGAGGAGAACAGUGAAAUGCAGAUCAAAGGGACACGAUCAUUGAUGACCUCACCAUAGGGAGGGAGAUGGAGGGGGGGGGGAGGAAAUGUGAGGGAGUGUUGCUGCAGGGGGAGAGUGGGGGAAAGAGAUUAUCCAUCCCCCACACGCACGGAUCCCACCUGCACCGCCAUCAGUGCCUCUCCUUAACGGAUGCCCACCCCACACACACACAAACCCGCACCCGUACGUACCUUCCCCCCUCAGCGGCCACACAGACAGGCUGUUGGCUGCCACCGCCUCCUGAAUGGUCCACACACGCCGCAUGUACGAGUUGUUGACCAACAGAGCCUUAACCGCUGACCGGCUCAGUAAACUAACACCCCCUGAAGUGGAGCACGUCAUUAGGCAAGGCCAGUCAAAGUCAAAGAUUGGCUGUACAUGCGCCUGGUGGUGAGAGAUGGUGCUCAGAUGGAGCCCACACAUGGCGGACUCCAUACCAUAUAUAUGUAACAUAUCGUCGUUUAAAUUCAAAUAACGUGAGGCACACAUCAUUGUGGCUGGCAGGAGUUAAGACUUGGUUUCUGCUCCCGGAGAAUCUGGGUUCAAAUCCGCCUGUCGAUCUCUCGAUGUGUGAGGGGUAUUGAAGUGUGAGGUGGCCCCCCAUCUUGUGAACGGUGCAGGACGUGAUUACAGCAUAUUGUAAGCUGGCCAGAAGUUGAGGCGCCGUUGAUCCGCUAGAUUUGGUUGGAUGUUGGUGGUGAGUUGCUGAACGCAACGAAUACAUUCUGAAAUUGGAUGGGGUGAAUGGAUUAGGGUGCCCCUCUAGCAGGGGAGAGCAGGGCAUUGCCUCGGGAAAGGGGGCCGCUGGUGAAGCUAUACCACCCUGUAACAACAUCACAGGUUUGAUCCAAGUCGAAUGCCCCCCAGGUCACCUGCCUCUUCCACUAGUAAGGUGGCAGCAAUUGCACGUGCAAAGCCAAAUCUCUCCAUACAAACAUAUGCAAACGUACACAAAGGGACUCACUGUACGAGUCCAUCUCGGAAUUGUACUGCUGUACGAUGCUGCGCGCCUCCUGGAGUAAAGAAGGUGUCCAAGGGUGAGGAGCCGCGACGUAGGGACAUAUAUACAUGCAUACAACACGUGCUUAAGCAGCGUCUGGUAGCUCAGGGGCUUCAUGCAGUGAGCGUACUCCAAGGGUUUUGAGAGGGGCAAAGUGUAGGAGCCUAGCUCACUUAUAACAUACGGUAAGGAAGAUGCUGACAAGAAUUUCCGCCAAACCCAAAAUACUUGUUGGCAUGGUGACCCUCCAGCCGAACCAACUAGCAAGAGAAGAGCAAAGGAUGGUGAGGUAGCGAAGCUACAGCAUUAGCCGCGGACUUAACCCUGCAAAGCCAGGAAGAGUACAACCGCCAAGAACUAUUGCGCAGCCCAGGUUCCAGGUUCGCAGCAAACGGGCAGCUUCAACCCACUGGCAGCAACACGCACCUUGGCGUUCAUGAUCUUGCCUGUCGCGUAGUCCACAACCGGGGCAAUAAUCACAUACACCUGACAUAGCAAGGAAAGGGAAAGGGCCCUCAAGAAUUAAACGAAAUAAAAAGGGGGAUAUCAAACUAGCAAGGGUAGGGCAUGUAGGUGUUGUAUCACGUCUUAUCGCAGUAAAAGAACCGAUGGGCGGAUAUCAAUCCCGUGAUACCCAGGAUACUACAGUAGGUAAGUAAGCAGUUAAACCGUAAGUGGGUGAGUAAGGACCGUAAAUGGGCGAGCAAAGGCUUUCUGUGAUUGAGAGAGGUCCGCAUUAGCACCCUUGCUGUCCUUAGCUAGCUUACUUGUCCGGCUGUGUAGAUUGCGGGGCUUUCCUUGAUGUAAUUCAUCUUCUCCUCCAGGUUCGCCAGGUCCUUGAGGGUGGAGGAGGGGGGGGGUAAGGUGCAUUGAGGGGGAAGUAAAGGCGGGAUGUGAGAUACAUGAUGAAGUGCAAAGACAUCGACUGCCAAUGUUAGCCAAGCAAUUCAGAUCCCAGAGGUCCCCUGCAACCUUGCACAGGGGGUCAAUUGAUUGGGACAAGGAAUCUCCCUUUUCUGAAGGGAUGCAUCAUGCAGGGUGAGAGACCUGCCCCUACAAUGCACCAACAUUCCCAGCUACCCAGACAGCCAGAGACAACCUAAACCAUACCUGCGGUACACACAUCUGAUCCACCCAGGCAUACUUGGCUUUUUUGUUGGUGUGCAGCCACAACAGCCAGGCGGCGACCUGGGGGGGGGAGCAGCAGGUAGCAGUAAUGUCAGAAGAUGUAUUUGUCAAAAAUAGCACAAAUAACAGCAGCAUCGGCAGCAGUGGAGGUGGCAGGUGGCGGUAAUAGUAGCGGUAAUACAAACGGUCGCAAACAGGUAGGCAAAGCAGAAGAUAUGGAAAGGACGGCAGCACGAUUUCUUCAGCGAUUACUCUGCGUCCAAGGAGGACCACUUUGCGAUGGCCAACAAUCACGCACCUCAAUUUGUAUGGCAUGGCCGUCCGCUAAGGACCAGUUGACAGGCACUGGCCCAUUAUCAGGCAGGUCGUGAACCGAAUAGCCCUCUCUGCCGCAAUCGGAUAUCCACGUCUUGUAGUCGUUGAUAUUCUCAGCGCGGCCACGAACGCGCCAUCGGUAAGACAGCACGGCUGCGUUCUGCAGGCAUUUAUGAGGGCCAGGUUGGGCAUGGGAAGGGGAUUCCGCAAGGCGAUCCUGACCAAUAAAAGCUUUCGGAAGACAAAGAUUCCGUCCAGAAAGGCAUCCCUAAAGGUACGAGAUGUUAACUCGCAUUAAGUUGAGCCACUUGCUCGCUUCGUCCGAAACUGACUUCCCUGACGUACCGCUUCGGUCUUAUCGGUAAUGUAGCACCAGCGCUUUUGCCAUGCAUCCUUCUGGUAUGGCGUCUCGGUACCAGUUCCUUGCAGCUCCGACAGUAUCGCCGGGACAUCAUCUAUCUUCAAGUAACGCGGCAUCUUAUCUCACCACCUUACAAGUCAAGAUGUGAAAGGAAACGUAACCAGCUAGGUACUUAAGGAGAGUUCAGUUUUAGCAGCGUUAUAUAGUCACAAGCUUCCGACAUUGUACGGCCUAGGCGAGCAGUUGACGAGCCGAGCGCACCAGUAAGCCGAGCUGAAAGGGAGAGUGAAAAACAGCAAGGUAGAAAAUUAUAUUUUAAGCUUUAAAAUUACAGACCUGAAUAGGAAUGAUGAAACGCGAGUUCUUUGGGCCAUACGACCAGCUCGGACGAGAUCAGGAUGCGAUUGCAUCAGAGCGCGCUUAACCUUGGCAGUGUUUUUAAGUAUUAUACAAAUGUCACGCAUAUUGACAAAAGGGGCUGAACGGCUAUGCCCAUCGGCACUUCCCGGGUGCAUGGACCGCCCGCCAAAUUUAGUUUUGGCAUGUUUUUAAACUUUGACUUAGGGUUGUUAUUAUCGGCAUUUUCCGGAUGAUAUACAGCUAGUUAAUUUGAUAAGUAAACUUGGAUUUGACUUGAUGAGUAAACUUGAACUUCACGUAAGACAUUCGCGUUUGGCCUGCUCGGCCAUUCGGCGUCGCCAUUAUUACUUUUGGUAAUAACACAGCUUCUCAGAUUGAGACGUCGCAAUCCUCUCAAAUUAUUUGGCGUUUGGGGUUCAUUUGGGCUCCCCCGUACGUAGGCGCCCUUUACGAAUGGGUGAAUAUUCCUGAUGUCACGAAAUUGAACUUUUCUUUUUGGAUUUACCCAUUGUUUUGUUGUAAGCUAUUUCAUUUAUCUGACACUCGGGUCCAGGGUGUUAAGAAACGCUCAACCUCCCCAUUCUUCCUGCAAAGCCAUACAUAUUUUGGUCGGCUCUCUUUAUAAUAUUAGCUUAGUACCAGCUGAAAGCGGAGUCUUGGUCCUUUAGUCCUUCUCAGCUCACGGAGGUUAGGUACGAUAACACGUGAAGUACACCGUCGCCAUUCCAAGUGCAGCAGAGUGCAGCCUUGACAUUUGGAAGCGCUUGGAUCAAUGAAUACAAAUGACACGUGCAAGUAACUGGUAGGAUGAGUCAGCGGGUAGCAUCGGCGCCGUUAGCGCCGAGAUACAGCAAUCCUAAGUAACGAAACGGCUUUUGUAUCGCACUCUGAAGGCAGUGAGGAAUGCGUAUGCACUGUUCACAUGUGCGGGCGGAAAGAAGCUGCACAUGAAAAGCAACUGCCGGCUGUAAGUUGGGCAGUCCAACAACUCAGUAGCCCCAUAACGAGGCAUGACUUUUACACUACUGCUGCUUAAGCAGCACAAAACUUCGCAACGUUUCCUUGUCCAAGCUGCAAGAACAGACUUCUCCGCCCACCCUUACGCCCGCCUGAAGCCAAUAAGAAGUUUCACCAAUUCGUUUGUCUAGCAGUAUAGUUGAUCAUGAAACGGGGGCCACACUUAGCCGUACACCACCACAUCCCACGCAGUACAAGAAAGGACAUAAUGCUUUAGUACCACAGAUAUCCAUUAUGCUGCACAAAGUAGGCCUUUCAUGAAAUGGCGUCUUACCCCACGGACCACCGGAUCCCAUUUAGGCCUCAGCUCAGUCUGGCUCAGUCCUCUUAGAAUCAGCAAAGCGCCGGAUCCCUCGGGUCCCAUUUCUGCAGUCACGAAUACAAGUAUCGCGAAAAGGUGGUCUUGAUGGUAGCCAAACUAGGAUCUGCAAUUGGUUGGCAGCUGUAGUAGCUGAUAUACAGAACAGGAAUGAACGCAGAACAGGAAAGAUUAAUAAGCAUUAAGUACAAAGAGGUCUAACAGAAUUUCGGGAGCUAUUUACAGUGACUAGGUAUUUCAAUUGACAACUAGACAUCGUGCAUUUAAAAUAUCCUAAUUCGACACUGACGGAUUUGACGUUUCAUAAUUCUUGGCGAAUUGAAACUGUUUCUGGAACAUUAAUCAGCUAGGCGCAUUCACAGAAGUGUUUUUUUCCAUGUUUGUUUGCCUGUUUUUCAGUCUGAGUGGAGGAAUAGGUUUUUAGUCGCGGAAAUAUAAGUAUUUCAAAUCUAUAAGGCGCGGGGGGUCCAUUUUUGGCUGGAGGAAUGAACUUGCAAGUUCCGUACAAUUGUACGGUCGGAACAACUAAUCUUAAUUUUCAGGACCACGAACAUUUUUUUAUUCCUGAAUUCGGAAUAUAUCCUGCAUUACUAGCUGGCACCAGUUUUUUUUUCAUUUUUGCCGGUUAAUUUUCCAGUCCGAACGGAGGAAUAGGUUUUUAGUCGCGGGAAUAAAAGUAUUCCAAACCUGUAAGGCGCUGGGGGGGGGCUCCCUCCGAUGCCCCCAGACCCCCCCGAUGAGUUACAGUUUAGUUCGUGCAAACGCCGGCUUUGGGGAAUGUCGCAACACGCGCACACCACAAUCUCUCAAGCACUGAUCGAAUAGAGUUCGUUCACCAUCGUUCGUCUUGCAUCACGUUGAAAGAUAACACUACACGACUUUCCAGGUUGCAGAAGUAAUGAUGCAUAGCAGCAAUGAACCGGAACCACCAAACGCAACCUGUUUCCUGGCCCAUCGCGAUUGUCUCCAUAUGACUGUUUGGCCCGCUCGCUGUUGACAUCCGGAGUGGCGUUGUAGCGACUUUCAGCUGGUCACAGAAAUCUGAGUUUGACUCCUUUGGUCGCGUAUUGUUCCGCGCAUAGCAGGACGAGGCCGAACAUUGCCAUAUCAUUAAUUAGAAACUAUAAACGUGUUGAGAACGGUCAUAUGCUUACGGCGCGACGCAUGUAGGUUUCGAUCUCGCGACGUAAAAACAGAUGUUUUGUGUCUUAUACGAUUUAGCAUCGGUCUGAGAAAUGCUCUAAUGACAGAUAUCUUUUACUAGUUUCUUGUCAGUGUCCGUUGGCCGCUAAGAACCUGGCCCGGAGCUGCGUAAACCGGUAGCUACCAUUGCGUAAUGAAGUAGCUGCUACGCGAAAAGGGUAGCUGCGUCUUACGUUGACCAUACGACAGUGGUACGAAUGGCGGGCGCGUUUGCCAUAUAUAAGGCGCGGCCUGACCGAUGUUUUCUAGGGGACAAUCGAACCAUACAAAUCCCGCGCACGGUAGCAGAACGCACCGGCCGAGGAAGUUUGUAAUGAGUAUCGCCCUCACUUGGCGUGGAUGACUCCACCCAUUUUAUCCUGUCAACAACCGGCAAAGUUCCAACCUGACGGUGGGCCUAGUGGCCCAAGCAGUAAAACUCUGCUCACAUCAGGCUCACAAUCACACCUGGGCCUGCAGUCUCAGGACAAAACUCUGAUUCUGCUUCCGCUCGUGCACACAAAUCUCGAUCCUAUCUCGCUUAAGACAAUCUACUGGUAUCGAUUCCUUUCUAUAAACGAUCCUGGGCGCCCCGGUGUGUCCAUCCAGCGGUUCCCCAAAACCCGGGAAAGUUUUGGGCUGCCGCUGGGUGCCGCCCGCCGUGGUGCGGCCGGUAUUGAGACUAGGGUUUCAGCCCUGUCUCUAGCUACUUUUGAACAGUCUAUUUGGUGUCCCACUGGUUGUACAACUUGUACGCCAUGGAGAGCCAACAUCAAUCCCACUUUAUCACACACCCUCAUCCCUCGAGCGUCUCGUCUGUGCCUAUCUUCCGGCUAGGUGACAGCGCAUGCCAAUGGGUCGCCAGGGUUGAGAGAUGCGGUGGGAUGUACGGCUGGAGUGAAGAAGCUCAGCUGGACGUCGCCAUCUGCCGCCUAGGAGAUGAGGCCAUCUGCUGGCAAGCCGGCAUGGAAGCGUCUCUCCCCGAUUGGCUUAGCUUUAAGGCCGCAUUAUUGGAAUGAUUUGAUCCGACUCAAGAAGAGUUUUUUAUGUUGAGGAAACGGUCCUCUCCCAACUCGUGUGGUUAUCGACCAGGGGAUUUAACCCUGGGUCUACACGUAACUCUUGGGGAAGACUUAACCCUAAACGUAUGGGACUACCGAUGCAUAUUCGGUAGUUAAGUGGUGCACAUUUGGGCACCGUCAGGACGGCGCAGUGAGAUCGCGGAAUGUACGAAGUUUUCCACUGGCGCCAGUAUUUAGGGCGGUGACCGUGCUUAUUUCUCUCUCACUUACAUCGAGCGGUAUUCCUUUCAGGAAUCUCCUAAAGUCCUGCCGAUCGCUACUAUUACUUUUUACAUUACUUGUAACAGUUUAUCGUGCCCAAUAUCUUCACUGCCGGCAUUCUUUUUCCUAAGUAACAAUCAGCGUCAGCUGCCACCACUCUCGAUUCUUCAACAGGUUAUGAGCCCCGACUAGCGCCGACAGCUAUCAUCCAAUUGUUAUUUCUAUCCCUUAUCGACAAUGGUCAAGGAUAAGCUUGAUGAGCCGCUGGACCUACACAACUACUCCACAUGGCAAAUCAGGUUUAGCGUGAUGUGCAUGGAGCUUGGGCUUGAGCAGGCUUUGCUCGCCGAACCGUGCAACCAGGAGCAGAUUCGUCAAUCACGGAAAGUCGUCAAUCUGCUGAUCAAGAACGUCACCGUAGCUGCUCGUAGCGCAGCGAACAGUGAAGCGGAGGGAAGGCAUCUCGGAAUCGCGUCCGUGACCGGCUCGUGUCUGGGGCUCGUGGAUAGUCGCGCUCGAUUGGAUGGUUCCGGAGCUUCGCGGUUGCUCACGUUUUUCGUUAGCGCGCGCCCUCUUCACGCUCAGAGGUCGCGGGUUCGAGUCGCACACCGCGAAUUUCGAGUUGCACACCGAAACGUGAGGACGCGAGGACGACAGGUCGCGGGUUCAAACCAUGGGUCGCAUGCGAGGAUGCGAGGAUGCGAGGAUGCGAGGAUGCGAGGAUGCGAGGAUGCGAGGAUGCGAGGAUGCGAGGAUGCGAGGAUGCGAGGAUGCGAGGAUGCGAGGAUGCGAGGAUGCGAGGAUGCGAGGAUGCGAGGAUGCGAGGAUGCGAGGAUGCGAGGAUGCGAGGAUGCGAGGAUGCGAGGAUGCGAGGAUGCGAGGAUGCGAGGAUGCGAGGAUGCGAGGAUGCGAGGAUGCGAGGAUGCGAGGAUGCGAGGAUGCGAGGAUGCGAGGAUGCGAGGAUGCGAGGAUGCGAGGAUGCGAGGAUGCGAGGAUGCGAGGAUGCGAGGAUGCGAGGAUGCGAGGAUGCGAGGAUGCGAGGAUGCGAGGAUGCGAGGAUGCGAGGAUGCGAGGAUGCGAGGAUGCGAGGAUGCGAGGAUGCGAGGAUGCGAGGAUGCGAGGAUGCGAGGAUGCGAGGAUGCGAGGAUGCGAGGAUGCGAGGAUGCGAGGAUGCGAGGAUGCGAGGAUGCGAGGAUGCGAGGAUGCGAGGAUGCGAGGAUGCGAGGAUGCGAGGAUGCGAGGAUGCGAGGAUGCGAGGAUGCGAGGAUGCGAGGAUGCGAGGAUGCGAGGAUGCGAGGAUGCGAGGAUGCGAGGAUGCGAGGAUGCGAGGAUGCGAGGGCACAAGGACGCGUGAGCGUGUGGACACAUGGGUGUAUGGGACCGUGGCACCGUGGAUGUAGCCACACGUGGAUGUAGCCACACAUGGACGCGUGGACGUGGGACAUGAGGAUGUAACAUGGGCGUGUGCAUGAAGCGUGGAAACGUGCAUGUGUACCGUGAACAUGUGGCCGGGGACACGUGGAUACUGGGCCGUCAGGCCAUGGGGACGACUGGGUGCGGUGGUGGGUAACGAACAACAGACGUGCGUAGUUCUGUUGUUCGACAUGAACUUGCAAGGUUAAACUUUUAUCACAAAAUAUCAGGAUAACCGGGGACGCCUGGGCGUGGCUGUGGGUACUUCCACAUAGUUCCACUGUGGGACAGGACUUGCAGUGGAAAACUAGACUACAACGGCUCCACCACGAAAUGACGUGAAGUCGCGCACACCGCAACAUUCCCCGGGAUAAAUUCAGUCGCAGAAAUUCUAUAGAAUCAUACGGAUUCAGAAUACAUUCUAUCAACCAGCGAUGCUGUGCAGCACAGUUAUUGUAUAGAAGUAAUGUGUGCCAUUGGCCCUCGAGUGCAUUUAUUAAUUUUGUCAAACGGAUCCAGGAUAAAAUUUAUCAUACGGAUUCAGGAUAAAAUUCUACCAAACCGCGGUGCUGCGCAACAUACAUGCAUAUUGUAUCGAUGUACUGUGUUCCAUUGGCCCUCAACUGCAUUUCUUGAGGAUAGGAGGAUAACCUGUCGCGACAUCAGUCUGACCGGCCAUUUCUAUGGACAAUUCUGGUUCCGGUAAGGAGUCCUGGUUGGGACUGAUGCCCGUGAUGUUGCUCCAUCUCCUGCAUGGGCGGUAGACUAGUAAUCCUCUUCCUGACAUCACGCAGGAUGUCGGCGGUUAGGUACAGUUGCAGGUGGAGGCUCGUGGCUUCUGAGCUUGACGGGCCGGACUCAAGCCACACCUUCCCCCCCGACACCCCAGCUGUCCAGUGUGGAUGCAACCAGAAAGGCGCAGGCGUGAGCCAACCGGACGCCUGAGCAAGUGGCGGCGGAUCGAGCAGCAGCUGCAGCGUGAUGGGCAGAUGCGCGAGCCAACCGGACACCUGAGCAAGUGGCAGCGGACCGAGCAGCAGCUACUGCUCGGUGGGCGCGGUGGUCGGAGGUGCGAGCCAACCGAACACCUGAGCAGGUGGCCACACAUCGAGCAGCACAUGCAGCUCGGGUAGCAGAGGCACGAGCCAACUGAACGCCUGAGCAAGUGGCGGCAGACCAAACAGCAGACGCAGCUCGGAAGCGUCAAGCCCGUGUGAUUCAGCAACAGUCAUCUGAGGAGCACACACCACAACGCACCCGCCGCAGCAGGGGUAGCCUUGUGGAGGCAGUUUUGGAUGCUGCCUUCUGGCUGUUCAGGCGGCCGACAAACCCCACCAAGCCUCGUAUGGGUGCCUGGUUAGACAGCAGUACAGCUUCAUGGCCGGAACAUGUGCAAGAUGUUCCUGCGGGUCAGCCUCUGCCCACUGUUCCUCUAGUAGAACAGAUCCGAGUCGCCGAACAGCUUGAUGCCGCUGUCAAACACAACAUGCCAUUGUGUGUCUGCACCUGCUGCAGCGAGAUGAAGUCCGCGGUACAGGCACACGGCUACCGGUUUGGUGACAUCCCCAACGUGCACCAGUUGCGUGCAGAUGUUUGGAGGACACUGGCAGUGGCGUGUCCAGCUCAAGUCGUCGCAUGGCUACCAGUGGCAGCCGCACCAUGGGGCAGAGCACCACCACCACCUGAGCCAGCUUUGCCGUGGGGCUUCCGAAAGACGUGGCUCAAUGGGCAUUCUACGGAGAAGACGGGGCUCACCAAGCAUCCUGGUACAACAGGGGACUCUGGUGGUUCAGAUGACCAAGAGCACCGCCAGCCCACCCAGCAGCGCAGUUCGUUGCAACAGGCGCGGGACCAUUUGAGCAACACUGGAGCAUACGGCUUCCCGGAGGACUUUCCGCCGCAUGAGGCGGGCCCAUCUAGUCUGCCACGGCGGCAUCGGCGUGAGACGGAUGGUGUUGACGAGGAGCAGGAGUCUAUUCUUUCCGAUGAAGAAGUGGAAGUGGAUGCGACACGGCCACAAGACACGGACGGCCAGCAUGAGGAAUGGAUGCUCCCUUCGUGGCCGCCACAACCUGGCAUGAAGCCACGGCCGGAUCCCACUGCUCCGGGUGUGUGGCUAGUGCCGUACUGCAUGUGUGUGGAGCGCUCUGGGGAGAAUUGUACGGUGCACACCAACGAGGCUGGCGAUGACAUCAUCAUGAUGUGCAACGACUGCAUUCAUGCCUUGGAAUGUAAGCACUAAACACUGGGUCGGGGGAACGAAUGUGUGGCAACGUAUGUAUUUGAUGGGUUUUGGCGGCUGCUUUCCUGUGGGAUGUUGUUCGUUGUGGCCGGUUCUGGGGUAGGCUGCUGGGACAUACGCGUUUCAUGAGAAUUUGCAUGUGGUGCUUUCGUUGCCGAUCAUGUGUGCUGGGUGUUCAUGCAUGCGCGCACGCCACCGCACUGGUUAUUCUGGCUGGUCUGCCCUGCCUGUGGCUGCUGCCUCCGCAUCCAGGCCAACGCAUCCCGUAGCCUGCCCUCGCACGCUAUGAUGGUGGAGACGUGCCGGAAAUCAAUCAGGACGGGCAGCGUCUGGAGUGGCCUGCCGUGCUGGAAGCCAACAUACCGGGGCUGGGCCAUGCCCAGCAGCACAUCUAAUGUAAUGUAAUGUAAUGUGAUGUAAUGUAAUGUAAUGUAAUGUAAUGUAAUGUAAUGUAAUGUAAUGUAAUGUAAUGUAAUGUAAUGUAAUGUAAUGUAAUGUAAUGUAAUGUAAUGUAAUGUAAUGUAAUGUAAUGUAAUGUAAUGUAAUGUAAUGUAAUGUAAUGUAAUGUAAUGUAAUGUAAUGUUACAGAGUGGGAGGCUUCUGGGCCGCUUUAUCACAUUGUCAGUUCUAGAUCAUUUAUCACCUUAUAGCACCAUCCACCACUACCACACUGUACUUCGCCAUACGAACUGUAAGUCCAAGGCGGUGGGUCCAGCCUUCAGGGACCCCUCCUCAUCCAUUCACCCGAACACCCGAAGAGACGGAGGGUUCGGCAAUCGCCACCAAUCCAGCGUGCGAAUCUGGUCCAUCAACUGUGACCUCAACUCCACAUCUCAGCAGCUAGCCAUAAUCUCGCGCUCCCGACUAAUUCGGGGGUCUCCCCAGGAAUCAAACCCAGGACCUUAAACCGCUAAUUGCAGUAGU